rnacentral:rRNA from 1 species
ACAUGCCUACAACACAGUGUUAAUAUACCAGAUAUCAUUAGAACUCCGCAGUUAAGCGUGCUCGAGCUAGAGUAGUACUGGGAUGAAUGACCACCUGAGAAGUCCUAGUAUUUUACAUGCC